rnacentral:misc_RNA from 1 species
AAAAAAAGUAUACUGCUUUCUUGGAGGCUGCAGUAUGUUGAGGAAGAUUCGAAACGAACUACUUUCCUUUCUUUAGAUCUCUCGAGUCUUGACUUGCCAUCGAGGAUUGCCAUUUAGAUUUUGAAGCUUCAAUUGGAAAAUGGUUUGCACUUAGCUAUCCUCCAUAUUACUCUUUUGGGGGAACUACACUGGGGAUUUGAUGAAAGGUGUUUCUAGUAGCUUACGUGCAGCUUUCUCCUCCUGUGUACAACAAGUUCGAAAUUAUGAUUACCAUCACUAUCUCUGCCUCCUCGAGCUUCCCCCUAACAUGCGAAAGGCUGCAUUUGCCCUUCGUGCCUUGAACGUUGAAACUGCCAGAGCCAUGGAUGUUGCUUCAGAUCCCAGGAUUGGUCUUAUGCGCCUCCUCUGGUGGCAAGAAACUAUAGAUAAGAUUUAUUCCAACAAGUUGGUUGAGCACCCAACAGCGCAGGCCCUCUCAUCGGUGAUAUCUGAAAAUAGAAUUACUAAGGGUUGGUUGAAACGGUCUGUUGAAGCACGCAUCAAUGAUGCAAGGAGGGGUGUUACUGACAUCCCAGAAACUUUAGAAGAGUUGGAAAAAUAUGCCGAAGACACUGUAUCAACAAUGCUAUACAUGACACUUCAAGCUGGUGGCAUCAGGUCCACUGCAGCUGACCAUGCAGCAUCUCAUGUUGGUAAGGCAAGUGGCCUUCUAUUGCUACUUAGGUCAAUUCCAUAUCAUGCUAGUCGCAACCGACACUUUUCAUAUAUACCAACUGAUGUGGCAGCAAAACAUGGGUUAUUAGCCAAAGAUGGCGGUCGAUCAGAAGUCCACGUGGAUUCACGUGAGGACUUAUGUGAUGCUGUCUUUGAGAUGGCAUCAGUAGCUAAUGCCCAUUUGCAGAAGGCUCGUGCAUUGGCUGGAACAGUUCCUGCUGAGGCUCGCCCAGUGCUUUUGCCAGCUGUUCCUGCCCAGGUUCUCCUGGACUCCCUGAGUAGGGUGCAGUUUGACGUGUUUGAUCCAAGAUUAGAACGAGGAGUUCUGGGCAUUCCACCUUUGUGGUACCAAUUGAAAUUAAAGUGGUCGUCAUGGAGGGGGGAAUACUGAUAACUUAGUAAUCCAUUCAACGGGAAAGUUGGUGGGGUGGACAAUGCUAGAGAAUUGUCAUACUUUUGGUUCCUUUACAAUAAGGGGAUUGUCUUUCACAAGAAACAUGGUCCUAUCCUCCGCUAGUGCACGUUUCGUUUUUGGAAUUUCCUUGAUAAUGGCAUUGUCUGGUUUUGAAACUCCGCAUAUUUGGCACAUGAAAUUUGUUGGGUAGUUGGUAUAGGAUUUUGCAAAAUGCACAGGCUGGGGCUGGGCUGGGCUGGGCUGAACAUCAUUAUUACCGGAAGAUUGGAGGCUUUUGUUACUUCACAGUUCACACGAUCGAGAUGCUUCUUCACAGUUUGCGUUCCAGUUAUAGCAAAUUUCGUCUUUUUCCUUCCGGUGUGGCUUUAAAUGAGAACGAGUUCGAGAAGUCGAGAACCGUUGCAAACAUGGGACCGAGGAGCUCGUGGCUCGCUUAACUUAAAGCUAGGUUCAAAACUCCAAAACACAGAACCUUGUUAGGCCCAAAGCCCCAUGACUCCAUCACUAUGGUUUACAGGCCCAGGCGAAGACCCCAACAGUAGAAGCGAAGAUCCAUUGCAAUCGAGUUGUAACCCGGCCUUACAACCAGGGCCAAGCCAGAAAAUAAUAAAAAACUCAACCAUGUACUCGCAUCGCACGUGUGCGGAUAAAAUAUUAAAUUACGUAUAUAAAACUUUUUUAUCGAUUAAAAAAUUAUAA